rnacentral:rRNA from 1 species
UNAUGGGCGCGAGCCUGAACCAGCCAAGUAGCGUGAAGGAUGAAGGCUCUAUGGGUCGUAAACUUCUUUUAUAUGGGAAUAAAGUUUUCCACGUGUGGAAUUUUGUAUGUACCAUAUGAAUAAGGAUCGGCUAACUCCGUGCCAGCAGCCGCGGUAAUACGGAGGAUCCGAGCGUUAUCCGGAUUUAUUGGGUUUAAAGGGAGCGUAGGUGGAUUGUUAAGUCAGUUGUGAAAGUUUGCGGCUCAACCGUAAAAUUGCAGUUGAAACUGGCAGUCUUGAGUACAGUAGAGGUGGGCGGAAUUCGUGGUGUAGCGGUGAAAUGCUUAGAUAUCACGAAGAACUCCGAUUGCGAAGGCAGCUCACUAGACUGUUACUGACACUGAUGCUCGAAAGUGUGGGUAUCAAACAGGAUUAGAUACCCUGGUAGUCCAAGGGCGAAUUC